GCGGGGCUGCGGGCGUGUAGGACGCUUAUUUCCGGGGCCUUAUCGAUCCAAACGGGAGCUGUCCCUGUUCUCGUCCGUGGACUUGAGCACACGGCGCCCACCUACGUUGUAGGUACUGGGAUCGAUGUCCCACGGCCAUCGUGGCUCCGCA
rnacentral:other from 1 species